GAAGAGAGGAGAAAAGGAGGAAGCAGAGGACGUGGGGCAAAGUCUUAUUCCUGAGAGACAGACACAAAGCACACCCUAACUCCAGGAGACCAGAGAGGCAUGUGGCACCUUAGGGAGGAGCUGGCUGGGCUUCUGUCCAUCUGCAGAGGCUCAUGGGACACAGGCUGAGGUUGACAGGACACCCAGGAUCCCUGCUGAGGACAGGACCCCCACCCAACCCCUCCCGGGUGGCUUCUCUUCCCAAGUCUAAGGCUGUACCUCAGGCUCAAGACUAUCUGCUGACCUCCCUGGGGCACCGCUGUGGGCCAAACCGUGUGCACUCCAUACUUGGAGACUAGACAUCACAAGAGUACUAAGAUUGCAGGCAUAUGAACCAUAGCAGGAGGGGUCUACAUAGGACAUAAUGCCAUUAUGGUGAGUGACUGCCACACUUUCCCAGGCCAAAGCCAUUCCCACCUCAUGACCGUUCAGUUAAGGGUGUUGGGACAACGGGCAACUGUAGUCAUCUAAGGCAAGCCUUUGAGCCUUUGCACACACUGUUCCCUCAUAUCCCAGAAUGUCCUUCCCCACAUCCCAGAAUGCCCCUCCCCAUAUCCCAGAAUGCCCCUCCCCACAUCCCAGAAUGCCCUUCCCCACAUCCCUUCCUACCUGUGUGUAAGGCUGAGGAGGGUCUGCAAAGUUUCUCCAGCCCUGAUGGAGCUGAGGUGUGCCUAUCCCUCGCCCAGGCACUCACAGCCACCGAGCAGCCUACAAGGCGAUGACAGUCAUGACUGCUGCCCAGCAAUUCAGUCAUGUGUUUCUGAAGGCCUUGGGCUGCCCCUGUAGCUCCCCAGUCACUGCCCUUCAGGAAGGAAGGGACCCAGAGAGCUCCAGAAGAAAACUUCCUGAGCCGCUGAAGAGGGACGUCUGACAGCCUCGUUCCGGGUUCAGGGGAGACCCUGUGUCAAGGGAGUAAGACAUGGACAUGUGCAGCACACACACAUGCACACUGAACACACACACAUGCACACUGCACACAUACACAUGUACACUGCAUACAUACACAUGCACACACAUGCAUACUGCACACACACACAUGCACACACACACAUGCACAUUGCACACACACACCAUUCACUCUCGCACAUACACAUCAUACACACAUACUGCACACUCAUACCACAUACACAUCACACACAAUCACUCAUACGUGCAUACUACACACACACAUGAAUGAACACAUCACAUACAUACACACACAUGCACACAACACACACCAUACAUAUACCACUCACAUACACAUGCCCUCUGCACACACACACACAUACACCAUUCACUCACACACAUACACAUCAUGCACACAUACUGCACCCACACGCACACAUCACACAAUCCACUCACACAUGCACACUGUACACACACACACACACACAUGUACACAUGCACGCAUGCGCAUGUACACACACACACACACCAUUCACUCACACACAUGCACAUCAUAUACACAUACCGCACACACAUACCACACACACAUCACACACAAUCACACACACUCAAGUGCCCUGAUACAUGCAAACACACAUACACACAAACAGGCACACACGCACAGCCAGUCAGCCCAGCUGGCUCUCAUAAAUACGUACAGUGCUAGGUCUCUUGGACCAUAAACUCUUCUCCUGUUCCUAGUUCCAGGGGCAGCCUGGCCCAUGGGGAAGAGAUGAACAGUAAGAAAGUGGGGUGGGGAGUGCCAACCUGAGGUUGGCCCACCAGGUCUGCCACAGUCAGGCCUCCAGCCUGUUCACUGAGCGCCUCCUCUGGCCAGAAAGAGAAGCGCACCCUGCCUCACUCACCCAUGGCACAGGGUUCCUGCAGCCUUGAGGUACAGGCCUUUAAUUUUUAUGUGUGCUUAGCCACUUGUCCUAGUGAGGAAAUAAUUUAAUUAACUCUGAGAACUGUAAUUAAUUUUAAUUGUUCAUGGUAAUUCAUUGCUGAAUACUCUAUUAAUAAUUAUUAAAAUCUUAAUGCCCAGUUACUGUCCUGUGAUAGAAUAAUUAAACGCUUGUGUGGGGGACACUUCAUUUCAAGUACCUCUUGUCCCUCCAUCCUCCAGAGCUAAGUUUUCUACCCUCAGCCAAGUCCCCUGGGGGCUCCCAAAGGUGGUGGCUUCUCUCAGGCCUCUGGGAAGGAUGCUGUGGUCAUCCACUCUGCAGCAGGCAGAGGAGAGAGUAGCCACCACCACAGCACAGCUGCCACGGGAAGCCCUGUGUACUCCUCUCUUCUGACCUGGCCACACAAUGACCUCACAGUGACCUUGAGAAUGGAGGUUAAUUAGGUCAUCGCAUUAGUCGACAUUCACCACACCCUCUGCCCACACUAACUGCUGACACAGGAGCCAUUCUGGAGACACGGACAAAGUGCUGACCCCCAAAGUUAUGAGAAGUGGCGAGUCCCGAGGGUACCUGGGGAAAAGAGGAUGCGAGUCCACCCUCCCUCUGGUCUUAGCCUUUGGAGUCAGGCCAGGAGAGCAGGAGCUGCAGAUCCGAAGCCCAGCCCCAGCACCCACAGAGGAUUGCCGCCGCCACUGGACCCUCAGUAUUUAAAUCACCCAUUGACUUAAACAAUCAUACCCUGCCUCUGCUUUGAGAAUAAAGGCCCCACCACCAUG